AUCGUCAGCAGAGGGAGAUCUCGCGAUGGCUCGAGCCUAUGGUCUCGGGAGAACUGACAGCGGCCUCCGCUCACCAGAGUAAGAUGGAUCUAAUAAACUUGGAUGAGAGAGAAAAUCACAAGUAACAAGAAGCGACGAUAUAGAUUAGAUAUGAAAUAUCAAUCUACACGGAUUGCAGAGAACCUGCGUACGAUGACAAGGACGAAGGUGCGGAGUGCAAGAUUUUGUAGCAUUCACUAGACGACCAGGUGACACGCCCAACCGUCGAAAGAGUAUCAGGGUGUGACGGCAACCGGUUUUGGAACAUGCGCCGAAGCAUUAAAAUACAUUGUCACCAGAGUUACGCUGCAGAUUAACCAAAAGACCGAAGGAAAUUGUCGUCUUUAUAAAACGAUCGUUCGUUCAACGAAGACAGAAGGAAAGAUAG